rnacentral:rRNA from 3 species
AAAUUGAAGAGUUUGAUCAUGGCUCAGAUUGAACGCUGGCGGCAGGCCUAACACAUGCAAGUCGAACGGUAACAGGAAGCAGCUUGCUGCUUUGCUGACGAGUGGCG